rfam:Homo sapiens chromosome 6, GRCh38 reference primary assembly.
GCCAGGUGUGGUGGCUCACACCUGUAAUCCUAGCACUUUGGGAGGCUGAGGUGGGUGGAUCACCUGAGGUCAGGACUUUGAGACCAGCCUGGCCAACAGGGUGAAACCCUGUCUCUU